rnacentral:rRNA from 1 species
UACGUAGGGUGCGAGCGUUGUCCGGAAUUAUUGGCGUAAAGAGCUCGUAGGCGGUGUGUCACGUCGGCCGUGAAAACCUGGGGCUUAACUCUGGGCGUGCGGUCGAUACGGGCAUCACUAGAGUUCGGCAGGGGAGACUGGAAUUCCUGGUGUAGCGGUGAAAUGCGCAGAUAUCAGGAGGAACACCGGUGGCGAAGGCGGUUCUCUGGGAAUGUCCUGACGCUGAGGAGCGAAAGUGUGGGGAGCGAACAGG